UUUGUAUGGAUAAAAUUUGUAUAAAAUUUCUUGGAUUUGGAUAUCUCUUGGGCAGAAUUUAGUGAGAUGACUCAGAUGACAAUUUGGAAGACUAUCUGGGGAUUAUUUUGAGUUUAUGGAGAAGGAGGAUGUAACCUAGGUUCUCUGUGGCAUACAGUAUAUCUUCGUGCCUGUAGAUAGGAUCCGUGCUUACC